rnacentral:lncRNA from 1 species
ACAGCGCAGGAGCUCUCAGACUACCUCAGAUGCCAAGAGCCUGGUUUGAAUACAAGCCUUGCCAUUGUGUGACUUUGGGUUUAAAGACCCCUGACGUGACUUAUUGCCAUUCUGCUACUGAGCCUUGAGAGAUUAUGGUAAGUGCCAAGAAAAAAAAAAUGACUUUGAACUGCUCUUUCACCAGUUAAAAAUAACACUGAAACCAAAUGUAAACAUAAAAGAAGUGGUCAGAUUCGGGUUACAUAUUAACGGUGUUUGGUCAGGCUGGAGCUGAGGCACAGCAGCAGAGAAUGCCUUUUACUUAUCACUGUUUCCAAACCUCCCUACCUGGACUAGGCUUGACUGGAUUUACAAGAGACCUUUUGAAAAGAUGCAGAGAAGGCAAGCAGCACACAUUUCCUGGUAAUAAAUUUUAAAGGUUGCUAAAACAUUCCAGAGAUUUUCACUCAACAUUCCUCUGGCCAACACAUCUGCAAUCUGCCAAUCCUUAAAAAUAGGUGUUUUUGCAUUUUAAUCUCACAAACAUCUUUGAAAAUGCAUUUCUUCUCUGCCCCUGUGUUGGACAAAUCCAGCUUUUUCCAUUUUCUAAAAACCACAGAAAUAUAAUGCUGCUUAAUUCAUACAAGACUGAGCUAACUGGAGUUAAAAUAAAAUUUCUGAGAGUUUGUUUGGCUCACUCUUCCCUACCAGAUGAUUCCAUUCUUAAAACGGUCCUGUGAUUAUAUUCUCUCAUUACAGAGGUGUCCAGAAAAAAAAUAAGGAGUGCAGUUCUGAAAUUAUAUAAAAGCAAAAUUAUUACUCUAAACGUAAGAGCUGUGAUAGAUCGUGUCAUUGACCAUGGUUCUUUUCCCCUGACACACACGUCCCCACCACCCACCCACUGUAUCCAUAUGCCUUUUGCCAUAUGACUUUGCAGCUCUCCCCACUAAAGGGGCAGCCAUGCGAUUUGCUUUGGCCAAUGAAAUGAGGCAGUAGUGGUGGUAUCCUAGUUCUGAGCCUAGGUCUCAAGAAGUCUUAUGUGUUUCUGCUUAUCCUCUUAUACCUCUGCCAUCACCAUGAGCCAAACAUCCCCCAAGUAGCCCACUGGUCCCAGGACAAGGAGGGAGACAUGAAGCAGAGCUCAUCCAGCUGCUGCAGCCCCACUUGACCCAGAGACCUACACUGGGAAGCAGAGCUGCCCAGUCAAGUCCAACCUGGAUGUGUGGAACCCCAGCCAACCUGAUGCAUGAGCACUCACGGCAUUGGAAGACAUCAUAAACAUUAAUGGAGAGCGGGAUGCCAGAAUAAGUUGAUCCAAAUGAUGCAGGAAUAUUUAGCAGCAAGGAGAAAGGAAUUCACAUUUCUCAGUACCCACUAUGUGCCAUACUUUGUGAUAAGAUGGUUUCCCUCCAAUAUAUCCUCAUUGUCAGCAAUGUCGGGAAACAGGAAUCAUUUCCCCUUCUACAGGUGAUAAAACUGAAGCAAGAAACAUACAGGCUAACAUCAGCUGAGCUGAGAUUUGAACUCCACUCUUUUUGACCCUGGAGCUGAUGAAUGCUGCUUCUAGAGGUUGAGUAUCCCUUAUCCGAAAUCCUUGGAACCAGGAGAUUUUUGGAUUUGGGAAUAUUUGCAUAUACAUAAUGAGAUAUCUUGGAGAUGGGACCCAAGUCUAAAUACAAAAUUAUUUUGUUGUAUAUACACCUUGUACACAUAGACUGAAGAUAAUUUUAUACAAUAUUUUAAAUAAUUUUGUGCGUGAAACAAAGUUGUGACUAUGUCUUGACUGUAAGACAUCUUGCAUGCAACCCAUCAUAUGAGGUCAGGUGCAGAAUUUUCCAUUUGUGGUGUCAUGUUAGUGCUCAAAAAUUUUCGGAUUUUGGAGCACUUCAGACUUUCGUUUUCCAGACGGGGGAUGCUCAACCUGUCUUAGAACCUGUGGUCUCCCAUCAUGCCUCCCUUCCCCAUUCCCUUGCUCCACUGGGGUCUGAGGUGGGAAAGCAAAAGGAGUUGCAGGUAACCCUCACUUUUCACACCAGGCAAUCUCUCCCCACAAUCUGUCACAUUCCUGAAGAACAAGGAAGCAGAGCACUCCACUGAAGAAAUUCUGUUAAAAUCUAUCCCCAACGUAUAAGCAUCCAUCUUUGUCCCAGUCUGGGUCUAACAUGAACAAAGUGCUUAAACAAUUCAGUAGAGGAGAAAGGGAACUUGGAGCAGCUCUGUCACCCUGAAGUGACACUGCCAUGCUGCAUUUCCUGUCUGUAAUAUCUCUUCAGAGCAAUUGUUUUCUUCUGUGAGGACACUUCAGAGAUUCACAGAGACAGAUGCUCUUGUGACUGACCAUAGCAAGUAUCAAAAGGCCUGGGUGGAAUUACGAAGCAUUUCUCGUGCACUGCGUAUUGGGAAGUGCUUCACAGCUGUGUGGCAGAUGUGAGUGGACAGAGGGGCAAGGGAACUGCCCCAAAGGAGGUGGCAGAGGAAGCAACAAGCCAGGGAUUGGCUGGCCGGUCCCAGCACAGCAACUGCAGCAGCAGCUUGCUAAGUUUCACAGGUGAAGCCAAAGGCUGGGGGGAAUGGAAAACAAAUAUCACUCCAUUAAAUUAAGGUCUGAGGAAAACAUGAUGAGGAAAGUCAAUAGUGAAUCAAAACAUUGAAAAGCCACUAACUUUGACUUUCCAUGUGCGUGUGCAAGUUCACGUGUGCAUGUGUGUCUGCAUGUCCAAGUUCUACACUGAUUCAAGAAAUAAUUAUAGAGGGCCUGCCAUAGGAUGGUGAGCAAAACAGUCUUGGCCUCUGUCCUGAUGGAGCAUGCAGUAUCACAGACUCUAUAUGUUCUAUUUCUAGGCCUUGUAUUUUGAGGAUAUAUGCCAGUGGAAUGAGAAUGGCUCUGUGACCUUGUUUAAGUCCCACCACUGUCUCAGGCAGGGUUUUCCAAAGUGUAGUCCUUAUACUAUUAUGUGGUGAAGAUGCUUAAUUGUUUUGUAAUUAUUUAAUGUGCGUAGGUAUCACAUCAAACCCAGUAUUUUCAAGGAUUUUUAUAGCUUAAGACAAGGCUUGUUAUAGGCAAGGUGGAUCAAUUCAAAAAAUAUAUGCUAACAAAAUAAUAGUGGAGGUGGUACAAAGAAACAGCAAAGGUAGUGAGAUGGCUUCACUGGUGUUUGUGAAUCACCAAGAUAAUGCACGUGGAAAUAAAAAUCAGUGUGGUCCAUAGAAAUACAAGGGGUUCUAAUUACCCCUCAGUGAGCACUUGCUCUCUCACUCACCCCAGCAAUGACAUAUUAAGCAAAGCACUGCCCUGACUGCAUAUGCUCUUGCCGACAACUUGGCCAGCAUUCAGAAGACACUAAGUGUGCUCUGGGAACUUCAGAAGGCACUAACAUUCCAUGGAGAACUUCACAAAGAGUGAGACCUAGUCCCUGGCCUAAAGAGAGUAUAAUUUAGUAGGAAAGAGAAGACAAACACACAAAUAACUGUAAAAUGGGAUAAGCCCCAAAGUGGAGGUACAAAGUCCCAUAGAAGAGGCUCAAUGAUAAGUCACGCCUGCCGGGUAAGGUCAAGAAAGACUUCAUGGAGAUUUGAGAUGGCAUCUGAGAUAAGCCAGGAAAGACGGUAGAAUUUCAACAACCAAAAAAGUGGGGAGAGGGAUGGGAGGCAUUCCAGAGAAGGAGAAAUGCUUGAGCAAUGGUACAGAGACCAGGAAGUUAUAUGAGGGCAGAAAGUCCCUGCUGUCUAUUUAGCUGGGAUAUAGAAUGCAAGUCAGUUAGAUGAUUAGGUGGGGUUAUAACAUAACUAGCCUUAAAUAGUGGACUGAGAAUUUUCCACUUAAUUUAAUGCAAAUGGCAGGGGAGGGGGCAGGCAAUGGAGAGCUGAAAACAGGACUGGAGAUGCGCUGGAGGGAAGUAACCCUGGAAAUGGGUGAAGUACGGGUUACUGUCACCCCAGCUCUGGUUCUUGUUAUUCCCUAGGAGAAGCAUAAUAGAAGUGUGAAUUUAGGGUAGCCAAAUGAUGACUUUGCAGAGGGAAUCUUUAGGACUUGUGACUUGAUUAAAAGCAGGGAGAUGGAUAGGGAACGUCCAAGGAUAACUAGAUAACUAGAGCUCUCCUGUUCCUCUGACUCAUGUGUGCUGAAACUGUAGAGUCAAACAAACACUUGUAAGUGGCGUGAUGUAAAUCCCUUAGGGGCCCAUGCCUGCCUCAAGAGAAGAACGUGUGGUCAGGAAAAACGACCGGGGGAAGUGAAAACGACACAAGACCCAGAGGAUAACCCUUAUUUUAUUCACACAUGCAAAUUUAGGCACAGCAAAAAGCAAAACGAAGUAUACCAAAUGUCAAGGGUUAAUUAUUAAUCAUUUCUAUAUUAAAUUAUGAGUUUUUCAGUAAGACACUUUUUGAUAAGAAACUUGAAUUACGUUCAUAACCAUCAAAAUAAAGAAAAUAAAAGAGACAGAUUUUCUUUGGUGGUGGGAGAACAUUAAGUAUUGUGGAAGCCUGAAAAAUGGUCCCCAAAAGAAUCUGGUCCUAAUCCUUAGAACUUGUGAGUAUUAUCUUACUUGGAAAAAGGGUUGUUUUAAGAUAAGGAUCUUGAGUUGGGAAGAUUGUCCUGAGUUAUUCAGGUAGGCUGUAAAUGCCAUCACAGGCAACCUUUUUACAUGGAUAUUUGACACAGAGUGGAGGAGACACCCAUAGGAGAAGGCUAUGUGAAGACAUAGCAUCGAGACACUUGAAGAUAUUGGCCUUCAAAUGGCACAGCCACAAGCAAAGGAAUGCCAGCAGCCACCAGGAAAAAGCAAAGAAUGGAUUCUCACCUAAAGUCUCCAGAGGGACUGUAGAGUAUCCUGCCAACACCUUGAUUUUGACUCUGUGAAACUGAUGUCAGGCUUCUGGCCUCCAGAACUGUGAGAGAAGAAAUUUCUGUUGUUUUAAACCUUCGAAUUUGUGGUAAUGUGUUAGAGCAGCCACAGGAAACUCAUAUUCUAAACUAGCAACUAUGAAAUGAGAAUUUCUAGUGUUCAGCUAAGAUACCACCGCAGAAGCAGCUGGAUAAUAUCAGAUGAGCCGAAAACUUCUCUUACCCCAUUUCCUUAUCCAUAAAAUUAGCAAAUAAUACCUGUCUUGCAGAGUUAAUUUUAAAGUUAUACAAGUAAAUACACUUUGAAAGUGACAAGUACUAGAAAAAUGUAGGGAAUUAUCCUACAAGUCUGGGUAUCCCCACCACCCAAGGCACAUGAAUGAUGCACAAUAAAAUAUACAAUUGGUUAGAAAUAGAACAAAGUGUUGAAAGUGCUUCAAAGCUCGAAAUGUAGGGCAUGAGGAAUGAAGGAAAUUCAGUUCAGGAAUAAAAUAUUUAUUCAGCAUCACUAAUAAGCCAGGCACUCUGCCAGAACCCAAAGGUAUAAAGAGGAACAAAUGAUAAUUCCUGCCCUGUGGAUGGCUUAUAGUCUAGGGUAGCAUUUUUACAGUGUGUUCACAGACCACUAAGCUCUCAAAUUUCUAUUUAAAGAUGCCAAAGGACCCAAGAUCAAGUGCUAUAUUCUAAUAUCUACCCUCUCCAUUUCCUACCCCCUCCCACAACCACACUUUCUGUAGACUCACAAUGUGUUAGUUAAUUUAAGGCAUUGAGUCCUGUUGUUAAUAAGCUGACUUGCCCUUAAUUAUCACAGGCUUUUCCAAAUUUCCUUGACAUGCACUAACCAUUUAACCUUGGGGAAAAGAAUGGAAUAACAUUCUUGCCUGCCUGUUGUAGCUGUCAUCAUAUUUAAAUGUAAUAAAACAUGGAAAGUGUUUAAUAAUUAUGGUGCUCUAGGCAAAAUAGCAGUCCUUCAAAAAUGCCCAUGCCCUAAUCUCCAGAACCUGUGAAUAUGUUACCUGACAUUGUAAAGCAACCUUGUAGGUGUGAUUAAAGUUACAAGCUCUGAGAAGAGAAAAUUACUCUGGAUUAUCUGGGUGGGCCCAGCUUAAUCAUAUGAACCCUUAAAAGUGGAGAAUGUUUUCCAGCUAAGGUCAGAGAAAGAGACUUGACAAAGGAAGAAGGGUCAUAGGGAUGUGAUACCGCUAGCUUUAGAGAUGAAGGAAGAGGACCACAGCCAAGAAAUGUGGGUAGCCUCUGAACACAAUACAAGGCAAGGACACGGGCUCUCUCCUUGAGCCUCUAGAAGGAGCACAGCCAUAAGGCAUUCUUAAACUAUGUCGCUUACCUUACCUACCUCAUCCACUUACUACUUGUAUGGCUAAUGGCAUGAGGAAGUCACUAAAACUCUCCGAGCCUUCCUGGCCUCCACUUAAAUGGGAGUGGUACCCACAGAGGGUCAGGAGGCUCAAUCAAAUCUCAAAUUCAUUAUCUCUUGCUUCUCAUGCACAAGUCAGUGUCAGCAGGAGGCAUCAGUGCUUCUGCAAAAAUAACUAAUUCAACAUUACUUUGUCAGAUCACAACCCUUCUUUGCUAAAACCUUCCAGAGGCUCCCUGUCUCACUCACAGAACAACCUCAUGGACUUCCUCUGUUCUCAGGAUUCUCAUGACACAAUAUGACCCCAUUUCCUCUGACUAUAGGUCCUUCCUCUCUCCCCCUUCCUGAUGGUGCUCCAGCCAUACUGGCCACCUUGCUGUUCCUGAGGCACACCAGGCAGCUUCCAGCCUCAGGACAUUUGCACUUGCUGUUUUCUCUGCUUAGAGCCCUCUUCCCCCAUAUCCACAUAGCUUGCUCCCUCAACUCCUUUAGAUCUUCAUUCGGCUAUUACCUUCUUCCUGAGGCCUUCCCUAACAACCCUAUGAAAAUUGCAAUACCUGCCAGCCAAACAUUCCCCAUCCUCCCUUCACUUUAAUUUCCGCCAUAGUAAUUUCAUCUUCUCACAUGCUGCAUAUUUAACUGUUUUGUUUACUUUCUUUCCUCCAUUGGAAUAUAAGCUCUAUCAGGGCUUUUCAUGAAGGACAUGCAAGUAGAUGCUUGAUAAAUAUUUGUUGGAUAAAUAAAUCAGUGCAUAUACCAAUCUGAAGUCACAAAAUCAAUAUGAGCAUCACCUUCCACUAAAGACAUAUCCUUUCAGUUAUCGAUGAAAAAUGAAGUUGAAAACACAAUAAUCAGCCUGUCAUUGAACAAUGCAGCUGCAGCUAAGAUCAAGUUCUUGACUGACUUUGCCGAGCCCAACCAAUUCAAAGGAAGAAUAAAAACAUGGUCAAGGGACCCAAGACCCAGCUCUUAUCCCCUACUCAGAGAAAACCCAGAGAGAACCAGCCUUCUGAUGUCUUGUCCUUCCUGGUUUUGACCAACCUCUAAAAACCAUAAGAACAGUUUGUCUCAGUAUUUCAGUACUUCCGCUUCCAGGCCCAGGAAAGAGCAGGAAGUGCAGGGGCGUGUGAAAAUCAAGAAAAAAGAAGAAUUAAACCCGCUACACAUGAAGCGCUCAAAGACUUCCUCUGUAACCUGUUGCAGCACACGAGUUUCAAUGUGCUUUCACUGAGAGCCCAGGGGGACUGUGCUGUCCCCAGAAUUUCGCACCAUGCCCCACACUCUCAAUGAACACUUGUUG